GAACGAUCCAGCCUGGCUCGCCAUGUGUCACGAGAUCCUUGCUGGCUGUGGAGUAUGCCUCACUCUUUCGAAAUAGGAAGCAGAUGCCACUCCAUGUGUGGGUCUGGGAAUGACUUUCUGAAACACAGCAAGGAUGCUGAGACACGUUGUUUUGAGACAGGAUCUCACUGCGUAGCCCAGGCUGGUCUUGGACUUGCAGCCCUCCCCUGCCUCCAGUGUUGGGGUUAUUGCCCAACACUGGAUUUAAAACGCUCCAAUCCUAAGAGUUAGGGUCUUGAUAUGCAGCCUUGGCUGGCCUGGACUUUGUAUACCAGGCAAUGCUCCUGCCUUUGUCUCCAGAAUGCCUGGGUGGUGAGAAUAUGCUACCACACACCGCUGAGACUUCAACUUCUCCUAAAAUGCUUUGUUGAACAAGUCUUACCUUGUCACUCCCAGCAAGGGGCUGGUUAUGUGUAAUGAGGUAAAGACUGUGUCAUUUGUCAACUAAUAAAAGCAUAUUUAGAG
rnacentral:lncRNA from 1 species